GACGAACGCUGGCGGCGUGCUUAACACAUGCAAGUCGAACGGUAAGGCCCCUUCGGGGGUACACGAGUGGCGAACGGGUGAGUAACACGUGAGCAACCUGCCCUUGACUCUGGAAUAACAGUUGGAAACAGCUGCUAAUACUGGAUAUUCAUCGUCUCCUUCCUGGGGGGUGGUGGAAAGCUCCGGCGGUCAGGGAUGGGCUUGCGGCCUAUCAGCUUGUUGGUGAGGUAAUGGCUCACCAAGGCUUCGACGGAUAGCCGGCCUGAGAGGGCGACCGGCCACACUGGGACUGAGAUACGGCCCAGACUCCUACGGGAGGCAGCAGUGGGGAAUAUUGCACAAUGGGCGCAAGCCUGAUGCAGCAACGCCGCGUGCGGGAUGACGGCCUUCGGGUUGUAAACCGCUUUCAGUAGGGACGAAGGGUGACUGACGGUACCUACAGAAGAAGAACCGGCUAACUACGUG
rnacentral:rRNA from 1 species